rnacentral:rRNA from 1 species
UACGAAGGGGACUAGCGUUGUUCGGAAUCACUGGGCGUAAAGCGCACGUAGGCGGUUUUGUAAGUCAGGGGUGAAAUCCCGGGGCUCAACCUCGGAACUGCCUUUGAUACUGCGAAUCUCGAGUCCGAUAGAGGUGGGUGGAAUUCCUAGUGUAGAGGUGAAAUUCGUAGAUAUUAGGAAGAACACCGGUGGCGAAGGCGGCCCACUGGAUCGGUACUGACGCUGAGGUGCGAAAGCGUGGGGAGCAAACAGG